UCAAGCUAUAAAGAGCGCAAGGGGAAUGCCUUGGCAUCAGGAGCCGAUGAAGGACGUGAUAAGCUGCGAUAAGCUUCGGGGAGCUGCAAAUGAGCUGUGAUCCGGAGAUUUCCGAAUGGGGAAACCCACCGAAAGGUAUCCUGCACUGAAUCAAAUAGGUGCAGGAGGGGAACCGCCUGAACUGAAACAUCUAAGUAGGGCGAGGAAAAGACAUCAACCGAGAUUCCGCGAGUAGUGGCGAGCGAAAGCGGAUUAGGCCAAACCGGAGGUAGCAAUAUCUCCGGGGUUACGGACAGCGUUACGAGUAAUAAUUCCUAGUUAAACGGCAUGGGAAGGCCGGCCACAGAGUGUGAGAGCCACGUAAACGAAAGGGAUUAGAAUCCAGCUGGAUCCAGAGUACCGCGGGACACGAGGAAUCCCGUGGGAAGUCGGGGGGACCACCCUCCAAGCCUAAAUACUACCUGAUGACCGAUAGAGGAGCAGUACCGUGAGGGAAAGGUGAAAAGAACCCCGGGAGGGGAGUGAAAGAGUACCUGAAACCUUGUGCUUACAAGCAGUCAAAGCCCGUUAAAGGGUGAUGGCGUACUUUUUGUAGAACGGUCCGGCGAGUUAUAGUAACUGGCGAGGUUAAGGUAUUGAGUACCGAAGCCGAAGGGAAACCGAGUGUGAAGAGCGCGAAUAAAGUCAGUUGCCAUAGACCCGAAACCAGGUGACCUAGCCAUGACCAGGCUGAAGUGGAGGUAAAGCUCCAUGGAGGGCCGAACCCACGUUCGUUGCAAUGACCGGGGAUGAGUUGUGGCUAGCGGUGAAAUUCCAAACGAACCUGGAGAUAGCUGGUUCUCCCCGAAAUAGUUUUAGGACUAGCGUUGGCAAUGAGUUUCGCGGUGGUAAAGCACUGAAUGGGCUAGGGGGCGAUAAGCUUACUGAACCCUAUCAAACUAAGAAUGCCGCAGAAAUGCUUACCAGCAGUCAGACUACGAGUAAUAAAAUCCGUGGUCAAAAGGGAAAUAGCCCAGACCCACAGCUAAGGUCCCGAAUACAUGCUAAGUGGAAAACGAUGUGAGAUUGCAGAAACAACCAGGAUGUUGGCUUAGAGGCAGCCACUCGUUCAAAGAGUGCGUAAUAGCUCACUGGUCGAGUGAUCUUGCGCGGAAAAUUUAACGGGGCUAAGCAUGUAACCGAAGCUUGGGAUUCACGAUUUUUCGUGAGUGGUAGGGGAGCGUCGAAUACGGGGUGAAGUCGCACCGGAAGGAGCGGUGGACCGUAUUCGAGUGAGAAUGCCGGAAUGAGUAGCGAGAAUUAUGUGGGAAUCAUAAUGGCCGAAAAUCUAAGGUUUCCUGGGGAAGGUUCGUCCGCCCAGGGUAAGCCGGGAGCUAAGGCGAGGCCGCAAGGCGUAGUCGAUGCACAUACGGUAGAAAUUCCGUAGCCGGUACAAUUGUUAAUCACGGUGACACAUGAGUAUAGCUCUACCGGGCGUUGGUUGCCCCGGGCGUAAGCGAGCCGAAUGAGGCGAAGUGAGUAAAGCUUGUGGCGAGAAAAGCCGUGUGGAUUGGUUGUACUGCCCGUACCGCAAACCGACACAGGUAGAUGAGGAGAAGAUCCUAAGGCCAACGGGAGAAGGGUUGUUAAGGAACUAGGCAAAUUGACCCCGUAACUUCGGAAUAAGGGGUGCCUACGAAAGUAGGUCGCAGAGAAUCGGCCCAAGCAACUGUUUACCAAAAACACAGGUCUCUGCUAAAUCGAAAGAUGACGUAUAGGGGCUGACGCCUGCCCGGUGCUGGAAGGUUAAGAGGAGGACUUAGCGGAAACGCGAAGGUGCGAAUUUAAGCCCCAGUAAACGGCGGCCGUAACUAUAACGGUCCUAAGGUAGCGAAAUUCCUUGUCAGGUAAGUUCUGACCCGCACGAAAGGCGUAAUGAUUUGGGCACUGUCUCAACAGCCCGCCCGGCGAAAUUGUAGUACCGGUGAAGAUGCCGGUUACCCGCAACUAGACGGAAAGACCCCAUGGAGCUUUACUGCAGCUUAAUACUGAGAUUCGGUAAAUCAUGUACAGGAUAGGUGGGAGACUGAGAAACAUGGCCGUCAGGUCAUGUGGAGUCGCUGUUGGGAUACCACCCUUGGUUUGCUGGAUUUCUAACCUGCUGCCCUGAAUCGGGUAGGGGGACACUGUUAGGCGGGCAGUUUGACUGGGGCGGUCGCCUCCUAAAAUGUAACGGAGGCGCUCAAAGGUUGGCUCAGCAUGGAUGGAAACCAUGCAAUGAGUGUAAACGUAUAAGCCAGCCUGACUGCGAGACCGACGGGUCGAGCAGAGACGAAAGUCGGAGUUAGUGAUCCGGUGGUAUGUGAGUGGAAAUGCCAUCGCUCAACGGAUAAAAGCUACCCUGGGGAUAACAGGCUGAUCUCCCCCAAGCGUCCACAGCGACGGGGAGGUUUGGCACCUCGAUGUCGGCUCGUCGCAUCCUGGGGCUGAAUUAGGUCCCAAGGGUUUGGCUGUUCGCCAAUUAAAGCGGCACGCGAGCUGGGUUCAGAACGUCGUGAGACAGUUCGGUCCCUAUCUGUUGCGGGCGUAAGAGAUUUGAAGGGAGCUGUCCUUAGUACGAGAGGACCGGGAUGGACGUACCUCUGGUGCACCAGUUGUCCUGCCAAGGGCAUAGCUGGGUAGCUAUGUACGGACGAGAUAAACGCUGAAAGCAUCUAAGCGUGAAACUCCCCCUAAGAUGAGAUCUCUCAUCCUUUAAGGAGUAAGGACCCAGAAAGACGAUCUGGUUGAUAGGCCGAAGGUGGAAGCGCAGUAAUGUGUGCAGCUGAUCGGUACUAAUAGUCCGAGGGCUUGACCU
rnacentral:rRNA from 1 species